ACGGAGGGGGCUAGCGUUGUUCGGAAUUACUGGGCGUAAAGGGCGCGUAGGCUGCUAUGUAUGUCGGGGGUGAAAUCCCAGAGCUUAACUCUGGAACUGCUCUCGAAGCUGCAUAGCUAGAGUGAGUAAGAGGCGGACGGAAUUCCGAGUGUAGCAGUGAAAUGCGUAGAUAUUCGGAGGAACAUCAGUGGCGAAGGCGGUUCGCUGGUACUCAACUGACGCUGAGGCGCGAAAGCGUGGGGAGCAAGCAUGAUUAGAUACCCUGGUAGUCCACGCUGUAAACGAUGAGGACUAGCUAUUUUUCUUUCGAGAAGGGUGGCGCAGCUAAAGCAUUAAGUUCUCCGCCUGGGGAGUACGGUCGCAAGACUA
rnacentral:rRNA from 1 species